AAACUGAAGAGUUUGAUCAUGGCUCAGAUUGAACGCUGGCGGCAGGCCUAACACAUGCAAGUCGAGCGAGAAAGGCCUUCGGGCUGAGUACAGCGGCGGACGGGUGAGUAACGCGUAGGAAUCUACCUGGUAGUGGGGGACAACAUGGGGAAACUCAUGCUAAUACCGCAUACGCCCUAUGGGGGAAAGCGGGGGACCUUCGGGCCUCGCGCUAUCAGAUGAGCCUGCGUAGGAUUAGCUUGUUGGUGAGGUAAAGGCU
rnacentral:rRNA from 1 species